rnacentral:rRNA from 1 species
AUACGGAGGGUGCAAGCGUUGUUCGGAAUCACUGGGCGUAAAGGGCGCGCAGGCGGUUUGGUAAGUCAGAUGUGAAAGCCCACGGCUCAACCGUGGAAGUGCAUUUGAAACUACCAGACUUGAGUACCAGAGGGGAAAGUGGAAUUCCCGGUGUAGAGGUGAAAUUCGUAGAUAUCGGGAGGAAUACCGGUGGCGAAGGCGACUUUCUGGCUGGAUACUGACGCUGAGGCGCGAAAGCGUGGGGAGCAAACAGGAUUAGAAACCCUAGUAGUCC